rnacentral:rRNA from 1 species
AUAUUGCACAAUGGGCGGAAGCCUGAUGCAGCGACGCCGCGUGAGGGAUGACGGCCUUCGGGUUGUAAACCUCUUUCGGUAGGGACGAAGCGUGAGUGACGGUACCUACAGAAGAAGCGCCGGCCAACUACGUGCCAGCAGCCGCGGUAAGACGUAGGGCGCGAGCGUUGUCCGGAUUUAUUGGGCGUAAAGAGCUCGUAGGCGGCUCGUCGCGUCGGCUGUGAAAACUUGCGGCUCAACUGCAAGCUUGCAGCUGAUACGGGCGGGCUAGAGUUCGGUAGGGGAGACUGGAAUUCCUGGUGUAGCGGUGAAAUGCGCAGAUAUCAGGAGGAACACCGGUGGCGAAGGCGGGUCUCUGGGCCGAUACUGACGCUGAGGAGCGAAAGCGUGGGGAGCGA